AUGAUUGUAUUCUCUCAUUUCUCCCAGUGUUCUAAGGGCGAGCUGCCAUCACAAGACUGGGACGUUGGCUCCUCCAGCAGCUCUGUGCGCGCGCGGAGAAUAGCGGAAGGAGACGUGAGGAGAAUCCUCGGGCCGAAAUACAAUAGGAUUCAAGGAAAGUCUGAAGGGCGGACCUGCCCUGAAUAUGAAACGACCAAAAUCAGGGUCAUCUGAUGCAUGGUGUGCACAUCUAACACAAGCUUCGUAUUCUGUAUACUCCUGCCUUUCAAUAAGUGGCCAUUGAUAAACUGAUUCAGCUUUCUCUUAUAAUAAGGUAAGAAAUAUUUUGCCUCUUGGGGCUGGACCCGUGGUGUAGUGGUUAAGUUCAGCAGACUCUAUUUCGGUGGCCUGGGAUCAUGAGUUUGGAUCCCAGGUGUGGAGCUACAUCACUCACACCACUCAUCAGCAUGCUGUGGCAGCAACCCACAUACAAAAUAGAGGAGGAUUGGCACAGAUAUUAGAUCAGGGCUAAUCUUCCUCAAGCAAAAAAGAGAAAGAUUGGCAACAGAUGCUAGCUCAGGGCGAGUCUUCCUCAGCGAGAAAAAAAAGAAAAAAUACUAUUUGCAUCUUGCCUCUUGCCAUGUGUUUGUGUGCUGAUGACUCAUUCUGUCCAAUAUCCUGGAAAAUCUCCCAUUAUAUGAUAGGGCAACAAAAAUGAGGAGAACACGAAAAUUCCAAUCAAAACUCCAAUGCUGGCUAUUAUUCUAAAACAUAGAGGUUAUUGCUUGAAGAAAGCCACAGAAAGGCAU
rnacentral:lncRNA from 1 species